CCAAGAUGGCGGGCGUUUUAGUUGACCUCCGGAAGGAAUGCGGCGUGAUGACGCAAUACGCUGCCGCUUUACUUCGCCGCUCCGGUUUAGCUAAGAAAAGUUAGGGAGCUCCGGGCCGGAGAGGGACUAGUUUGACUUGAGUCCAAGUUUAAAGGACAGACCUAUUUUCGUUAAUACAACUAAGACAAAGAAGGAAUUGUUUUUUUCUUUUGGGGACGCCAAUGAUGGUCUUUUUGAAUUGCUGUGGUGGAGGGAAUGAUCACUUGGAUACCAGUAUUACAGUUUCAUUCCGGUCUUAAUACAUUUUCUAGAGGAUACAAGCCUAUCCAACUUGGUAGGGACUGUCAGAGAAUUAGGCUGUGUUGUCAUUACCUUCUUUCCGACUUGAGAGGGCUAGAGUUGUUGGCAUUGUCUUCUAAAAUCUAGGGUCACUGGUACGAGGAUAAGUCAUCAGAGGAAGACUUUGGUAAAGGCCUUGAAAACUUUUGAGAUUGCAUUGAAAGAAAUCUAGGAUCUAACAAGAGGGAGGCAAUAGCCUCAUAUUGUGAAAAGAGCAACAAAUUUGGAGUCAGAAAAUCUGGAUUCAGUCCUAAUUUUCUUCCUUAAACUACUACUAUAUCCUUGGGAUAUGUGCUGUUGAAUCAAGCAUGAAAACACAUUCAAAUGGAGGCACAUAUAAUCAAGGGAGAAAUUUGAAAUUAGCAAGUUGAAUUUAAUAUUGGUUUAGAGAUGACUUUGAAGAGAGCAGUUUCAAUCAAGGAGUAGAAGAGAAGCCAGAUUGAAAAUCAUAUUGAAAAGUAAGUGGGAGGUGAGAAAGUGGAGACAAGGAAUGUAGUUAGCUUUUUCUAGCAGUUUAACUGUGAAAAGGAGAAAUAUAGGAUAACAGAUGAACUCAUUUAAAAAACAACUCCAUAUCUCCUGUUCUUCCUCCAGCCUCUUUUUAUCCCUCUUUAUUUCUGUAGAGGGCACCACUGUCCUUCCACUCACCCAGGUUUACUACCUCAGAGUAGACCUUGAUUUCUCAUUUUACUUAAUCCCACACAUCCAAUAAAUUUCAAAUUUUAUCAGUUUUCCCUCCAUUUCUCUCACAUUAUACAUUACUCCCUUUUACACAUGUCAGCCAAAUUGGUCUGCUUGCUAAUUCUCAUUUAUUACAUUUCAUCUACUGCCUCCUUCCUGUUCAUCAUUUCCAAAAAUAUCUAGCUUCCUUGAAACUCUCAAGUACUGACUCUCAUGUGAUGGAUUUCUGGCUCUUCCUAACUGCAAGUACAUCCAUGCCUUAAGUUACCUUGUAUUUUCUUUUCUGUUAUAAAUAAUACUUAUGUUUGUGGGAUUUAUUUCUCUGAUAGAAUUUAAGCUCCUUGAGGGCAGAGGCUGUUUUGUUUUUUGUCUUUAAAUCCUCAACAGAAUGUGACACCUAAUAAGUAUUUAAUAAAUUGUUGACUUGAUUGACAUUUCAGUAACUGAGUGUCUCCACCAUCUAAUCCAAAAAGAACAAAAGACUAUCUCAUGGCAUUAUUGGGGAAGGUAGUCAAGGAAAGUGGGAAAGGCUAUUCUCCAUGGUAUUGGCCAUUGCUUGCUGCAGUUCUCAGUGCACUGAGAACGAAAACUGGGAGCUUCCUUUACCAGUUGUCUCUUAUAUAGCAUUAGUUUCUAAAGAGCUAUGUUUUGGCCUUAUUCCCUAAUCUGUUUCAUCUCUUUUCAGUCCUGCCCCACUCCAUGAAUAAUAUAUGGAGCACUGGGGAUACUAACUCUGUAUUAGACAAGCUACUUAACCUUUCUGUUAGUUUUUUCCUUUUUAAAAUGAGGGAAUUGGGGAGCAGCUGGGUAGUUUAGUGGAUUGAGAGGCAGGCCUAGAGAUGGGAAGUUCUAGGUUAAAAUCUGGCCUCAGACACUUACCAGCUGUGUGACCCUGGGCAAGUCACUUAGCCCCCAUUGCUUAGCCCUUACCACUCUGCCUUGCAACCAAAACACAGUAUUGAUUCCAAGAUGAAAGGUAAGGGCUUAAAAAUAAAUAAAUAAAUAAAUAAAAUGAGGGAACUGCAAAGAUAUCAGAGAGAGGGUGAAAGGACCUACUUAUACAAAAAUAUUUUUAGCAGCUCUUUUUGUGAUGGCAAAGAAUUGGAAACUGGUGGAGGGGGGUGUCCAUUAAUUGGGGAAUGGCUGAAUAAGUUGAACUAUAUGGUUGUAACAGAAUACUAUUGAACCAUAAGAAAUGAUAAAUGGAAUGAGUUUUAAAAAAAAACCUGGAAAGACUUAAUAUGAACUCAUACAAAGUAAAGUGAGCAGAACCAGGAGAACAACAUAUAUGAUAAUAGAAAUAUUGUACUCUGAUCAACUGUGAAGGACUAAACUAUGUGAAGGCAAAACAAAAUCCCAAGAUAACCUAAAGGGAACAUGAUUAAAAAGAAAAAAAAACAACUAUCCUUAGCCAAAGAAGGAAUUGUUGGAAUCUGAUUGCAGAUCAAAGUGUGCCAUCUUUUUACUUUAUUUACUCCAUGAGUUUUAAAAAAAUUAAUUAUAUUGUAAUGUGUCUUCUGUCACAGCAUAUGGAAAAAAAAAUGGGCAGCUGGGUAGCUCAGUGGAUUGAGAGCUACUCCUAGAGACAGGAGGUCUUAGGUUCAUAUCUGGCCUCAGACACUUCCCAGCUGUGUGACCCUGGGCAAGUCACUUGACCCCCAUUGCCUAGCCCUUACCACUCUUCUGCCUUGGAGCCAAUACACAGUAUUGACUCCAAGAUGGAAGGUAAGGGUUUAAAAAAAAAUGGAAAAAAAAGAAUAUGGAAAUUUGUAUUCCAUGAAAGUAUUUGUAUUAGAUCAGACUACCACCAGGGGGAGGGAAGAGAGAGAGGAAAUCUGAAUCUCAAAAUGUCAGAAAAUAAUUGUCAAAAAUUGUUUCUACAUGUAAUUAAAAUUAUAAGAGAAUGUUUAAAAUGAGGGAAUUGGACUAGAUACAUUCUCAGGACUUUUCCACCUUAAAAUCUUCUGUUCCUAUGAGUAAGAGAAAUAGAAAUAUGCAUGAGAGAAUAAGAUAGAUGAUAAAAGUUACCGAUUUUAAUUGUUAAUUAUCUAGAAAAAGUUUUCACUCUUUUUGGUGGAAUAACUGUUCUCAGUGAGAUGAAGUAAGGUCAGCAAAUGGUAGAACAUGACCUUAAGUUAUAUUUCUUGCCACUAUCAUUUCCUGGUGAAACAAGUUCUAUUAGAUCAUUAUCUGUCCUGUCAUUUAUUUGCUUUUGUCUCUUCCAAACUAACUUUUCUCAAGUUGAAAAGGACCUACCUUAUCCUACUUCUUGGGAAUUCAGUGAAUGAGUUCAUGUUCUUCCUAUGUGUGAUGUUCAUUAUUUGGUAGAAAUUGAUCUUCUCCCAGCUUAUCCUUCGCUUUUCUCUACUAAUGAACUGUAGUUUUGCCAUCUGUUCUGAAUCUGUUGGGUUCUAUUUUUCUUUUCUAGAAAUCUAUAAGAAUGUAAGCUCCUUGAGGACAGGGACUGUGGCGAUUUUUAUCUCUGCAUGGCCUUUUUUUAUUUCUAUCUCUUUAUCACAGUGCCUUAUAUAUAGUGAGGUUCAAUAAAUGUUUGUUGAAUGAUCUGUACACACGAUAGUGUGAGAAUAAACACAACAUAUUUUUCUGUUUUACAUGAUAGAAUCAUGUUUUUAAUGUUUUAUUAAUGCUUUUCAAAAAAUUGCCAUCAUUUCCUAAAUAGGACCUCCCUUAACAAAGUAAAGACACAUAGUGAGUCAUGUAUUGGUCAAGAAGAUCUGGAUUCAGAAUCUGACUCUGAAAUGUUCUUAAUUAUGUGACCCCAGGCAGUCACUUAACCUCUCUAUGCCUUAGUUGUACGAUGCCGGUUGUACCUACCACAAAGGCUCAAAUGAGAUAAUGUAUGGAAAGUGCUUCAUAAACUUUAAAGACUAUAUAAAUAUUAACUACUGUUAUAUCAUUAUAACUGAGCAAAACAAUGGUAUAUUGACUUUGUGAAUAAUAUAGGCCUCAUUCCACACUGGUUUCUACCAUCUCUCCGCUGAGAAGAGAGAGAUAUAUUUCAUUAUUGGUCCUCUAGUCACAAUUAGUGUUUUCAUUGUUCUCAGGUAUGAUAUUCAGAUCUAGCAUAAUUCCAAGUGAUUUCGAUCAUUUCACUCAUUUAAAUUUACUCAUUUAAAACUGUUACUGGUUUUGAGGCAUGUUAUGCCUCCUCUUGCAUUUUUUUUAAAACCUUACCUUCCAUCUUAGAAUCAAUACUGUGUACUGGUUCCAAAGCAGAAGACCAGUAAGGACUAGGCAAUGGAGAUUAAGUGACUUGCCCAGGGUCACACAGUUAGGAAGUGUCUGAGGCCACACUGAAACCCAGAACCUCCCAUCUCUAGGCUUAGCUCUCAAUCCACUGAGCCACCUAGACUUCCCCUUCCUAAUGUAUAUUAAUAAGUUGGCUUUCUGGUUUGCAAAUGAGUGUCUUAUACAUCAAUCACCAGUACUUGACCACUGUUAGGGGAAAUGGCAAAGGUAAGUUUCUAAAAGAGAUGAUAAAUCAUGGUGGUAGCCCAUCACUGCCACCAUAACUAAGGUAAGGCUAAUCCUUAGUAGGCUUUAUAUAUCCCACCUUAUCCUUUUUUUCCUCCUUUCUUUCUUCCUCUGUUCUUUCCUUCCUUCUGGAUGAGUUUUAUUCCAUCAAAUAUGAAUACCAUUCUGAUGCAACACCUAAGAGUGCUGUAUGGUCAACAGGAGAAAAUUGGGACAUGUACAGUAUACUUAUCAUAUCUUCCACUUUUGGACAGAGCAAUUUGACUCAAAAGACAAAUAGCAUGAGCACCUUCUUAGAGGUGAUGCCUGGGCUUAAUAGCAGUCUUAAAAAUUCUCAUCCCCAGGUGCAUAAGAAAAGCCUAAAAAUGCACUUGAAGCCCCACAGCUGCUGGCUGUUAAGUCCGGUGUAUGUCCAAUAGAGCUAGAAAUUGCCUCUUUAGUGAACUCUGGAUCGAAGUGUCUUAAGUCAGCCGGCCCCACCUUUGGAGAAAAAACAUGAAAGAAAGGAUGGGAUGUGAAAUUUAGUGUUACAAGAUGAACUGAAGCAUUCUUUUAAUAAAAGUGUUCUUAAUCUGAAGUCUGUGAGUAAUAGAUAAAUGAAAGAUUUUGAUAACUUUUUUUUUCCAACAUGAUUAGUUUCCUUUAUAAUCCUAUGUAUUUAAUUUUAUGUACUUAAAAAUAUUGUUCUGAGAAAGGGUCUAUAGGUUUUGUCAGACUGUCAAAAUGAUCAAUAAUGGGAAAUAAAAUGAAGAACCUCUGCUUUAGAACAAGCCUGAUCCAUUACGGCUAGAUACCUGACUCACAAAGCAAGAGAUAUUUAUCCUAUCCAAGCAUCUAUGACCCCUCUGUGUACUACUAAACUCAUGACUUUCCUAUUACAUUUCCAUUCCACCCUCUCUCACAUCAACCCUCAACAUGGCUCUCCUUUGCUAUCACUGAGUCUUCAUAGCAAUGGAAAAAGGAGAUAGGAAAGAGUAAAGCAAAUGAGAAGAAAUGAAAGCCAAAGUUUAUUCUCCUCCAGUUUGGCUCAUGCAACAAAGGGGCACAUAGAAAAGCUUGAGUACUUUUGAGUCAGAUUAAUUACAAUGAUGAAGAGUAAAUGAGCAAAUAAUGACACAAGCUCUUACCACAUUUGGGUUGAAAGGAGGAGUGAGUCUCUUGUGAUAUAAAUCAUCCCAGUUUAUUGGACUGAAGAAGACAUGAUUCUUUAUCUCAAGCUGCAAGGAAAAAAUACUAGUUUAGAAAAAGAUCUCCCCUUAACAUUAUAGCUGCCACUGUACCAAGUCUUUGUUAUACCUGACCACUUUUGGAAGUGAGAAUAUCCACUCUUCAGUGUGGUGUCAGUGCGGGAGAAUAGACAGAGUGCUGGGCUUGGAAUUUGGAAAAUGUGGGUUUGAUUCUUGCUUUUGACACUUAUUAGCUGUGAGAACCUUGAGAAGUCCCUGAGCCUCUUUGACCUUCAGGUUUCUCCUCUGUAAAAUGGGGAUAAUUCCUGGAAGUUCCACUCACCAAGGUUUUUGAAGUUCAAGUAAGAUGAUGUCUAUAAAGUACUUCAGAACUGUUAAAGAUUUCUGAUAUAUAAAUAUGAGCUACUAUUGUCAUAGUCAUCUUAAGCCUUUAAAUACUGUUUUCAACAUAAAAAGGAAUUCAAAAUUAUUUCUUUGGUCAAAAGGAAUGAUUAAAAAAUAAUUUUAUUAUGGUCAGAAUUCAUCUCUACCACCUUUAUUAGUAAUAAUUAUGAUUAAUAUUAUUAUAUGUAGCAAGAUAACACAGUGGAUAGAGUAGUGGAGUUUGGAGUAAGGAUGAUCUGAGUUCAAAUACUACCUCAGACACUAUGUACAAGUCAUGUAACCUCUCUUAGUCUUUCCCCUCAUCUGUAAAAUAGCAAUAAUAAUAGUAACCAACUCCUGGGGCUGUUGUGAGCUGUAAACUUUAGAUUUACUCCACCCUGCUUAUCUAACAAAACAGGAAUGUCUACACUCCUAUUUAAGGAUUAAGUAUUGAGAAGGAUGACCUAUGACAGACAUGUGCCAGCAAAUGACAAGUCAGAAACAACUGACAGACCCCUGGGCUGGCCUAAGUCAAGCUUAAGCUACCAUUGGUACAUGUGAGACACAGGAAAGUGAUGUAAAAACAGUUUAUAUAUAUUUGGCGUCACUUCCUCUCUCUGGCUCUUUUUGCGGAGAGGUGGCUCUGGCAGCAGCAAGCUGAGUGUCUUGGCAUCUUGAUGUGGUGGCAGCUAUUGUCUGGGUUUGGUGGUGAGAGUCCUUGAUACACUACUGGGGAAGCUUAGUAACCUAGUUCAGGUAAGGUGUCUUCUCUGAGCUCUCUUGGAGUUUAGGCUGAUUCUUUUCUUCUUUACCUUCCAAAACACUGUCUAUCCUCUUAGGAAAGCCGCUAAUCUUUGUGGUGGAGGUCUUUGAACUCCCCCUGGCACAGGCCAGGUGGGAGAAAUCCUAUACCCUUUUCCUCUCCUCAAUUUCUUCCCUCUAUAUUAAUUAAACCACCAUAAAAUUUCCAAAUUGACUUGGGUAUUUUAUUUGGGAUUCCUUCCCUGGCGACCAAUUAAAUUUAGAUUAAGACACAACCCUAAAAUUUCCCCUUACGGAGCAUAAAAUGCUAUAAUGGGUAUAAAAUAUUUUGCAAACAUUAGAGUGCUCUCUAAAGGAGAGCUAUGACUAUUAAAUGACAUUAUCUAGCACUCACAUAAGUGAAGCAUUUACAUAGAGCAUUUCAUCUGAUCCCCAACAAUCCUUUGAAGUAGGUGCUACAGUGAAUAUUAAUCCCAUUUUAUAGAAGAAGAAAGAGGCUGUAUUUAUCACUUCCUCCACUAAUAAUUUUGGUAAUUGAUGGUUUUAAAAGAUGUUGAAAAAAUGCAGUUGCCCCAAAUCUUCCUGCAAGGAAAAUGUGUGGCAUCUGUUCAUUAAAAAGAAUAAAGAGAAUGAAAAGCUGGAAUCAUCACAGAACUCUUGGAACACAAUUAAAUUUGACUCUCAGUACAUAUUCAAAUUCUCACCUUCAAGAAUGAACCUCUUCCCAUUCCACCCCCACACCUAUCCCUUCAAUCAAUACUUCAAUGUUUCAGUGCUCUGUGUCAAUCCUGAGGAAGCUUUUUGUCACCAUGUAGGAUCACAGAUCUAGAGCUAAAAGGGACUUCUGAGGUCAUCUAAUCCUACCCAAAAUUAUAUUAGUCAAGGAAACUGAGUCACAGGGAGAUUUAAGUUGCUCAAGAUCACUCAAGUGGUAAGUGAUAGUCAAGAUUUUAAUUCAGAUCUGCUGAUUCCAGUUCCUAUAUUCUUCAUUUUGCCAUGCUUCCUCCCAUGUAAUUGUACUGAUGCUACUUUUAUUUUUCUACUAGAGUGAUUUGUCUCUGCCUUCUCCAGUUCAUUUUGUAGAUGAGGAAAUGGAGGCAAACAGGAUUAAGUAACUUGCCCAACAUAGUGUUUGAGGCCAGAUUUGAAUUUGUAAAAAUGAGUCUUCCUGAUUCCAACCCAAUGCUCUAUCCACUAGACCACCUAGCUGCCCUUUCCAUACUGCUUUAUAUGACUAUAGUUUGAAUUUCUUGCUCUGAGAACUGUUCCACACUACUUUAAAUAGUUGAAAAUCCAGUCCUUCCCUCUUGAAAACAAUAGACCUAACAUAAGUAGAAGAUUGCUUCAAAUUACAUAUCACUUCAUGAUUAAAAUGAAUGGGCUUAGAUUAUAAGCAGGAGAGUUUAGAUUAGAUAUUAAGAAUGACACUGCAAUUUGGGUUGGGACCCUCUCUAUAAGGGAGGGGAAAGAGGCUGUCAUUCAAAUGAUGUGAGUACAAUUCUGACUAGCCAGGGAAACAAACUGGAUGAUCUGUCAAACUCUUAUGCUUUGAUAUUAAGCAUCCUUUGAAACCAUACCCUUUGAUGAAGUUAGGCCAUGUGCAUUUAAAAACAUAUCUUCUUUUGAGGUUAAGAAAUCACUAGAAGCAGAGGAUGUGAGGUAGGGGUGGAGGGCAGGAUGGGAGAGAGCCCUUGGAAACCUAUCACAUACAAAAUCUGCUUUGGCACCCAGCCUUUUCUUCUGAUCCUUGUGGAGAAGGCCAUGCAGGAGAUCACAGGCUGCCACCGUCUUGCCUCCUUGGAUCUGGAGAGGCUUGUGAAGGAUGUUCUCAUACAUUUCAGAAACAUCUCGGCUGUAGAAAGGUGGCUGCCAUAUAGGGAAACAAAGAAGAGAUCUGUGUUAUCUAUCAUAGAUUAGGGACUGAUCUGAAGAAACAAUAUUUUCCCCCCAGAGGAUCUAGGGAAAUCUAGAAAUUCUUACUUCAGAAAAGAAUUGGAGAAUGUAAAAAAUGCGUAAUUGGACAUAUAAAUGUAAACAAACAAAAAGAUAAAAAAAAAGAACAGAAUUGGACAAUAUACCUACUAAAAGCAGCACAGACCCACAAGUCAUAUCUUAACAAAUAAGAGACUGGACACUUUGAAUACUGUUUGGUAGAGAGAACUCUGGAGUAAAGUGCUAAUGGGGAGCAAGAAUCUAAGAGCUGGGAAGGGUCUCAAAGGCAUCUUGUCCAACUUGUACCCAAAUACAAUCCCCAUCUUCAACAUGCCUAACAACUGGUGAGCUAACAUGGGCUUAAAAACUUCCAGUGACAGAAUGGGUUACUUCCUAAGGCAUACCAGGGAAGUUUUUCCUUGUAAUAAGUAUGUUAUUUACCUCUCUGAGAAGUCUUCCAAUUUCUCCUAAUUCUACCCUGUGAGUUUAAGCAGAACAAGUCUAAUCCCUCUUUCACACUUAUAGAUGGUAACUAUUCUCCAGCACCUCAUCUUUUUCAGGCUUAACAUCUCUUGUUCUUUUAACUAAUCUUUAUAAGACAUGACUAAGAGCUUUCACUAUCCUGGUUACUCUUCUCAAGAUGUUCUCCAAAAAUGUAGUGCUCAAAAUAAAACAGAAUUCUGAUUGAGACAGAAGACAGUAAACAUCUACCAUUGCCCUAGUCCUGGAAUGCCUAGUUUUUCUUACUAUAGCUUAAGAUAAUGAGUUCUCACACAACCAAAAAGAAAAAAAUUAACUCAUUGCCAUGUGCCAGAACAGGCAUUGCCAACCUGUGGUAUCUCCAGAGGGUAUAUCAAUGAAUAUAACCAAUGUCUGGUAACUAUGUUAUCUAUGGAAAUUAAUCUUGUUUUAUUUCUUAUCUGCCUUUGCACUGGAAACUCUAGAAUUUAUUCCUUUCCUAUUGAAUAAGGAAUAUCACUGAAAUCUGAGGGAUGGGGAGGCAAAGGGCCCACACACACACACAAAAAGAGAUAGGAACUUCUGGCCUAAAUGGAGCUGCCUUAGGGGGCAGCUGGGUGGUUCAGUGGAUUGAGAGCCAGGCCUAGAGAUGGGAGGUUCUGGGUUCAAAUCUGACCUCAGCCACUUCCUGUGUGACCCUGGGCAAGUCACUUGACCCCCAUUGCCUAGCCCAUACCACUCUUCUGCCUUGGAACCAAUACACCGCAUUGAUUCCAAGACAGAAGGUAAGGAUUUUAAAAUAAAUAAAUAAAAAUUAAAAAAUAAAUGGAGCUGCCUUGUGUAAACCUUAAAAUUUCUUAGACUUAUAAAUGUUGGAAAUUUCACCAUUGGGAAAUUUCAUACUUGGAAAAUUUCUUACUGAUAGUGUAUUGGAAUGUGAACCCCUUUGGCAUGGGAGGUUCCUUCUCCUCCCUUCUUAAGAUUACUUUAGGACAGAAACCUUUUGCUGAACAAUGGAAAGGGCUUUGACCUAUGCUUAAGUACAGAACAGGAAUUUCUUUGAGUCAUGAUUGAUUUUAGAAUUGAUACAAUAGAGAUACUUGGAAUGACAGAAUCAGGUCUUGGAAAAUACAAUUUCCACCCCACUCAGUCCUAACAGGAUUUAGGAAGGGCUGCAGCAUAGAUCAAAAUUUAAUUAUUUGAGAAUAUGACCUUCAACAGACAUGUGCAAAGCCCAGACCUCUGGGCGGUCCUGGGUUAAGCUAGAGCCACCAUUGGCACAGGGAAAAUGAUGGACAGUGAUUGGUAGAUGUGAGAACUGAGGGGAGGGAACUUGGAUGGUUUCCUUAAAGAUAGAGGGGUCUGAGGACUGAGGGGUGGUUGGAGAGUUUUGGCUCUGAGUGGUUGGAGAGGUGCUCUGAGAAGCUUGCUCUGGAGGAAGCUGAAGGAGGCCCCUGAGACUGUUUCUCCAUUUUGGUCACGUGAGUGAUAGGAACUGAUCUCUUUUCUUUGCCUCAGCUAUCUAAGGGCUUGGGCCUUUUGGCCCAGCCUAAACAGAAGGGGUAUUUAAGCCCUAUUCCCUUCUCUCCCCUUUCUCUCUCCCUCUCUCUCUCUAUCUCUAAUUCCUUUCUUCCUCCUGUCUGUAAUUAAACUCUAUAAAAGGUUGACGGCUGACUUGAGUUUUCAUUUAGGAAUUACAUAGCUGAAUUCCUUGGUGACCUUAAAUUAAUAUAUAUCAGUCUUUUAAAGUGAUUUCCUUGUCACACUUGGCGGGAUAUUUGUGAAUAUCCCAAGGAAUCUUUAUGCAAAGAAACAUCAUUCAUUAGUUUGCUUAUAGUUCUCUUCUCUCUUCCCAUUCCUAAUCCUUCCUUAUUACCAAGUUUUGCAACCUUCUCUACUUAACACUUCAGAUUCUUGAUGCCAUACAAACCUCUUUUUCCUUUUUAACUUUUACCUUCCAUUUUAGAAUCAAUACUGUGCAUUGGUUCCCAGGAGAAUGGUGAGGGCUAGGCAAUGGGGGUCAAGUGGUUUCCCCAGAUCACACACCUAAAGAAGUAUCUGAGACCAGAUUUGAACCCAGGACCUCCCAUCUCUCAGCCUGACUCUAUCCACUGAGCUGCUUCCUCCAUACAACCUUCUUCCUUUGUGCCUUCACCUUCUUAUCCAUCUUUAUUAUGUCUUAGCCUACUAUUUCCUAGAAGGGAAGAAUACUAAUUGGCUUACUAAAUUCUCCUACAAGUUCUAUAACAGUACUAAAAAAGCAAAUUCAUUUAAUUAUUGAGACUAAUAUCAGGUAAAUAUUAUAAUGUUCUGCUACUUACCAAGCCACAGAGCAUUUCAUAAAGAACAGCUCCCAAACACCACCAAUCUACUGUUCGGUCAUAAGGUUGUUUUCUCAGUACUUCUGGAGCCAAAUACUAUUGGAAACAUAAUAUUGAACUCUGAUGAAUACCAUGACCAACCAGGAUUCCAGAAGGUUGGUGAUGAACUAUGCAACCAACCUCCUGACAGAGAAGUGAUGGACUCAAGUUGUUUAAUGAACCAUAUAUUGGGUGUAUUGGGAAUUUUCUUUUUGAUAUGCAUAUUUGUCAAAAAUGGUUUUGUUUUUCUUUUAUAUGUAAGGAGAGAAAACAAAUGCUCACUAACUGAAAAAUAAAACUUUAAACAAGCAUAUUGAUCUCUAUGAAGCAGCAUGCAAAAAGGAUUUUGCCAAUGCUGGCUAGCUUUUUGACCAAAGAAAAUAAUUUCAUCUCACUUUGUAUCUUUAAGAUGUGAGGGUUGAGGAGCAGCUGGUAGCACAGUGGAUAGAAUCAUCAAGCCUGGAGUUGGGAGGAUCUGAGUUCAAAUGUGACCUCAGAUACCUACCAGCUGUGUGAUCCUGGGCAAGUCACUUAAUCCGAAUUGCCUAGCCCUUGCUACCCUUCUGUCUUAGAAUUAAUACUAAGAGAGAAGGUAAGGAUUUUUAAAAAUUAUUUUUAAUAUGAGAGUUGAACAAGAUUCAGUUACAAAUAACCUAAUGAAUAUUAAGCACUAACUUGGCCCAAGUAUCAAGUGCAAGGAAUACAAAGAUGAAAUAAGAUGCAGGGCCUGACCUGGAGGAAUUUAUAGUCCAGUAGGGAAGAGAAUGCAAAUAGAUUAGUGACUCAAACUUACAGCAAAUGUACAAUUUGCGUUUAGGAUCAUAGACUAAGCUAUUCUCUUUUUUCAUUCAUUCAUUCAAUAGACAUUUCAUGGCUGAAGAAAUUGAGGCUCAAAGAGAAAAAAUGUGUCUAAUUACAUAAAGGGUCAGUAGAGAAAUGGGACUAUGAGUCAGGUGACCUGACUUCUGACCUUUGACUCUUUGACUAGGCAAUUGCCUCUUGUAGCUCUAACAAGGAACACAUUGAAGAAUAUGGAUUCUCUCUCUCUUGAACUGCUCUGAUGGCCUGUGCCCGGACAUAUCCACAAAAUAUUAGUUGCAUCACUACCACCACCCCCUCCCAGCAGCUACCACCAGCACAAUGCUAAGUAGGGACACUAACCCAAGGAAGUACAAAUCAAUGAAGAAAUUCACAGGACUCAGAUCAAGACCAAAAGCAGUGCUGAUUAGCCCCAUGCAGAAAGACAAGACUGGCUCUAGCAGAAAACCUCAAUCCAGAAGCUAAACAGGAAAGAUGAGUAAAUGAAAGAAAACACUGAUUUGUUUUAAAAAAAAAGUUAGAUGUCUAGAAAGUCCCCCCCCAAAAGGAGCAAGUUACUAUAUCGCAACUGCAAACUUUAGCUCAAAGGGAAAAAGAUGGAUUUUCUGCAAGGACAACAUGAAGACCUAGAAUAUAUGAAACGAGUUUAAAAUAAAAUAAAAGCCCUGGAAGAAGGAAAUGAAGGAGAAUAAAGAGUUUAGAAAUAAAAGUAGUAAGCCUACAUUUUUAGCUUUACAUUGUUGGGUUUAAUCGGGUUUUAAUGGGUAUUUGUUGGGUUUAAUUCAGGAAUCCCUGAAAAUUCCAUUAGAUCAAACAAAAAUCAAUUACUCCAUGAAAUAGCAUAUAUAUGUAUGUAUACAUAUGUAGGAACAUAAAAAUAUUGGAAAAAAUGGGAGAAAAUGUAAGAUAUUUGAUAUUUUAAAAUUUGACCUAGAAAAGGAGAGAUCUUUUAGGAAGCAUUGGACUUCCUGAAGAAGCAUGGAUGCUAUAUGUCAAGAAAUCAUAAGUAGACAGUAUCUAGAUCUCUUAGAACUGGAAGGCAAAAUGAAGAUAGAAAGAAUCUAACCAAUUACCUACCGAGAGAAAACCAGAAAGAAAAAUUCUCAGGAAUGUCAGAACCAAACUCCUGAGCUUAAAAACAACCAAAAAAAGUAAUGUAAAUAUAUGAAGAAAGAAGCAGUUUAAAUAUCAAGGAACUAUGAUCAAAAUCACAUUAGGCCUGGCAGCUUCUACUAAUAACUAAUAAUCCAGAGGAUUAUCUUAGAACAUAAUAUUCUAAAGAGUAUAAUCCUAAAUGGAGGGAUAUAUUUUUACUGGAAUAGAGGAUUUUUCAAGCAUUUCUGAUUAAAAAAGAAAAAGACUAGAGCUUUGUAGAAAUUUUGAGAUAUCAAGACCAGAAUCAUGAUUAAUUUAAUUGAGCAAUUGGAAGGAGUUGUAUAACAUUCUAAAAGAGAGAGAAGAAACAAAUAGUUUCCAUGUGUGGGUCCAGAGAAAUUGGUGGGGGAAGUAGGACUGGGAGAGAGAAAUUCCCCAUCCCACCUUGGGCCUGGGAUUGGUUUUAUGUAGUACCCAACUGAGGCCAAAGCAGAGGGGCUUCCUAACUUAGAAAGGGAAAAGCAACAGGGUGCCAGGAAGAAUCUAGGUUCAAAUGUGACCUCAGACACUUUCUAGUUAUGUGACCCUGGGCAAGUCACUUAACCCCAAUUACCUAGCCUUUACUGCUCUUACCAAUACUUAAUAUCAAUUUUAAGGAUUUGAUUUUUUUUUAAGAAAGAAAGAAAAGUGAGGGGGUGACUUUCCGAUCUAUGUGCUUGGUUCCUAUGGGGAGAACCCCACAUGUUCUGAAAGCUCUGUAGACAUU